GAUGAACGCUGGCGGCGUGCCUAAUACAUGCAAGUCGAGCGAACAGACGAGGAGCUUGCUCCUCUGACGUUAGCGGCGGACGGGUGAGUAACACGUGGAUAACCUACCUAUAAGACUGGGAUAACUUCGGGAAACCGGAGCUAAUACCGGAUAAUAUAUUGAACCGCAUGGUUCAAUAGUGAAAGACGGUUUUGCUGUCACUUAUAGAUGGAUCCGCGCCGCAUUAGCUAGUUGGUAAGGUAACGGCUUACCAAGGCAACGAUGCGUAGCCGACCUGAGAGGGUGAUCGGCCACACUGGAACUGAGACAAGGUCCAGACUCCUACGGGAGGCAGCAGUAGGGAAUCUUCCGCAAUGGGCGAAAGCUUGACGGAGCAACGCCGCGUGAGCGAUGAAGGUCUUCGGAUCGUAAAACUCUGUUAUUAGGGAAGAACAAAUGUGUAAGUAACUAUGCACGUCUUGACGGUACCUAAUCAGAAAGCCACGGCUAACUACGUG
rnacentral:rRNA from 1 species